AUGAUUCCCUCAUACAGGCAGAAAUUAAAGCUCUGCAAUCCUGUUGUGAGGACAUCAAAGCAGUGGACCAGUGAAGCUGUGGAGGAUCUCCAGGCGUGCUUGGACUCUACUGACUGGGAUGUGUUCAGGACUGCUACUAACAGUCUGGAUGAGUACACAGAGGCUGUGACAUCAUAUAUCAGCUUCUGUGAGGACUGCUGUGUACCAUCACGCACCAGGGUGAGUUACAACAACGACAAACCCUGGUUCACAGCCAAACUCAUUCAACUACGGUUGCAGAAGGAGCAAGCGUUCAGGAGUGGGGACAGGGACAAGUUUAAGGACUCUAAGUACAAGUUUAGCAAUGCGGUGAGAGAAGCUAAACGUCAGUACUCUGAGAAACUUCAACAUCAGUUCUCAGCCAACGACUCUGGUUCUGUCUGGAAGGGGCUCAGACAGAUAACUAACUACAAGCCCAAAACCCCUCACUCCAUCAAUGAUCUGCGCCUGGCAAACGAGCUGAAUGAGUUCUACUGCCGCUUCGACAGACGAAGGAGCAGUCCUGACACCAUCCCCCGUGACACCCCUCACCAGCCCCACCUCACCACUUCCUCCCCCCCCCCAGCCCAGCACGGAGCUGGGGCCACUUCACAGCUUCACACCUCUGUGAAUCCCUCCUCCUCCACCACAGUGACGACUCUCUGCCUCCAAGAGAGGGACGUCAACAGACUCUUCAAGAGGCAGAACCCCCGCAAAGCAGCCGGACCAGAUUCUGUCUCUCCAUCCACCCUGAAGCACUGUGCUGACCAGCUGUCUCCGGUGUUCACUGACAUCUUCAACACCUCUUUGGAGAUAUGUCACGUGCCAGCCUGCUUCAAAGCAUCCACCAUCAUCCCUGUCCCCAAGAAAGCAAGGACCACAGGACUCAAUGACUACAGACCUGUUGCCCUCACCUCUGUGGUCAUGAAGUCUUUUGAGCGCCUUGUGCUCUCCCACCUGAAAGCCAUAACGGACCCACUCCUGGACCCCCUGCAGUUCGCCUACAGAGCCAACAGGUCUGUAGACGACGCAGUAAACAUGGCCCUACACUUCACCCUCCAGCAUCUGGACUCCCCAGGAACCUACGCCAGGAUCCUGUUUGUGGACUUCAGCUCUGCGUUCAACACCAUCAUCCCUGCUCUGCUACAGGACAAGCUCUCCCAGCUCACUGUGCCUGACUCCACCUGCAGGUGGAUCACAGACUUCCUGUCUGACAGGAAACAGCACGUGAAGCUGGGGAAAAAUGUCUCUGACUCCCAGACCAUCAGCACCGGAUCCCCUCAAGGCUGCGUUCUUUCUCCUCUACUCUUCCCCCCGUACACCAACAGCUGCACCUCCAGUCACCAGUCUGUCAGGCUCCUGAAGUUCGCGGAUGACACCUCCCUCAUUGGGCUCAUCUCUGGUGGAGAUGAGUCCGCCUACAGAUGGGAGAUUGACCAUCUGGUGACCUGGUGCAGCCAGAACAACCUGGAGCUAAACGCUCUGAAAACAGUGGAGAUGGUUGUAGACUUUAGGAAGAACCCAGCCCCACCCGCCCCUAUCAUCCUGUGUGACUCCCCAGUUGACUCUGUGGAGUCCUUCCGCUUUCUGGGUACCAUUAUCACCCAGGACCUCAAGUGGGACCUGAACAUCAGCUCCCUCUCUAAGAAAGCCCAGUAG
rnacentral:lncRNA from 15 species